AUCUUCGGCCACAGCUCCGGUAACGCACCAACACUCGUUCGAUCGUUGAAGUUAAGCCCGGAAGCGCCCAAUUAGUACCGGGGUGGGGGACCACCCGGGAAUCCUGGGUGCUGAAGUUU
rfam:Cryptococcus depauperatus CBS 7841 supercont1.25, whole genome shotgun sequence.